CCCCCGAUAGCUCAGUGGCAGAGCACUUCCAUGGUAAGGAAGGGGUCGUCAGUUCAAUCCUGACUCGGGGCU
rnacentral:tRNA from 1 species